UGCUGGGCUGGUAACUAUUCCAGGAUUCAACAUAUAUAAGACUGAGAAAUUAAUAGGUGCAAUAAUAUGACAUGGUUGCGUGCUGAUGGAGUAAUAAUUAUCUGAAACUAUUGGAUGUCAAUUUUUCACAGUUGUGAUUAAAACAUCAAAUUAUUACUUUUAGAUAUAUUUUUAACCAGACUAAGAUUUUAUUUUUAUCCUAUCAGUAGUUUUGUCAAUGUCAUCACAAUUGACAUUAUUUGAUAAAAGUGUUUAGUUUUUAGAGGAGCCAAAGAUAACAUUAAAUUGAGAAUGGAAAUGGGGAAUGUGCCAAAGAGACAACAACCCGACCAUAGAGCAGACAACAGCAGAAGGUCACCAACAGGUCUUCAAUGUAGCGAGAAAUUCCCGCACCCGGAGGCGUCUUUCAGCUGGCCCCUAAACAAAUAUAUACUAGUUCAGUGAUAAUGAAUGCCAUACUAAUUUCCAAAUUGUACACAAGAAACUAAAAUUAAAAUAAUACAAGACUAACAAAGGCCAGAGGCUCCUGACUUGGGACAGGGCGCAAAAAUGCGGCGGGGUUAAACAUGUUUGUGAGAUCUCAACCCUCCCCCUAUACCUCUAGCCAAUGUAGAAAAGUAAACGCAUAACAAUACGC
rnacentral:lncRNA from 1 species